ACACAACAGCUGGCGUCUCCCCAGUCCGUCUCAGUCCGAUACGGCUACCCGAGUCAACGCCUCGCUUCAGUUCGUCGUCCUAGCUCCAAGUCAGUCCCUGCCUAAGUUUCUCGCUUUGUUACUUUCCUCAGAACCCCGAUUUAGCACUUCCCAUACAGCUACGGAUCAAUUCCCCGCCUAACUAUCCCGCCUCGAUUCCUUUCCUCAAUUUUCUCGCCUAAGCUUCCUCCAAAGCUCCCCGCCUCAGCACUCCGUAUCACCAUGACACUUCGCCUUUCACCUAUCCUACUGUUUACCCUCUGUGCUGCGGCACAAACCUAUGAUUGUCCCGAUGGCUGGACAGGCGUCAACGCACUCUGUUAUAGGAGUCUUCCAGGGCCGGCGGAUCAACCCACAGCACAAGCUAUGUGUCAAGAGGAGGACGCAGCAGCCGUGCUGCCAUCUAUACACGACCUGGCAACCAAUAGUAUCCUGCUGGGCCUCUCUGGCAAUCUGCCCUUCUGGACGGGACUGACCAAUGCUACUGGUGGCGGCCAGGGACAGUGGAGCUGGCAGGACGGCUCUGCCACCGAUUUCUCCAACUGGGCUCCGGGUAUGCCGGUUCUGGAUAACGGCAGAAAGGGCUGUGUGUGGGUUUAUGAGGGCGAUGGUACGUGGAGUAACGCCCAGUGUAACCUCCUGCUUGGGGAUGUGAUGUGCCAGCUCUGAGCCGGUGGUGUGACGUGACGUCACGUGUCGUGACGUCAUAUGAUAUGACGUCACAUGCUAUGACGUCAUAUGGUGUGGUAUAUGCUCUGACGUCACAUGUUAUGACAUCAUAUGCUGUGGUAUCAUGUGAUGCAACGCCAUAUGAAAUAAAGUCUUAUGGUUUGACGUCAUUUGGGGUAACGUGCGUCAACUCUUACGGACAGCACAAAUGCGUCCUAAUUCUUCUCCAAGUCGUGUAAAAAAAAAACAGGAUUUCGUCCUGGGUGUCAUGCAUUGUGUCGUCGUAUGGCAGCACUGACGUGAUGACGUAACAUGUUGUGACGUCAUGAAUGAUGGAGGUGUUGCGGAAAUGAUAUUUGUGGUUUGAUUAGGUAUGUGAAAGGUAAAAAAAGCUGUUUGGGUGAAGUAAAUACAGUGGAUGUGGUCAAUAGCUCACAAAAAUAAA